rnacentral:rRNA from 2 species
CUAAAUUCUCAACGGUGGAUAUCUUGGCUCCCGUUACGAUGAAGAACGCAGCGAAGUGCGAUAAGCAAUGCGAAUUGCAGAACCGUGAAUCAUUAGAAUUUUGAACGCA